ACUUCGAUUCGAGAUUCGAGCAGCAAGCAAAAGUGUCAGUGGAAAAAUAUGGCAACCGCUGUUGCCGCUGGAAUUUUUAUCUGAUAUUCAAGGGUAAUCCCUGUUGUUCUACUAUAGAAAUUGUGUAGUUCGGUGAAUCUGUUACCCAUCAAUGGAAGUAAAUAGUUUAGCAGACUGUCAACAUUAAAUAGCUUAAAAAAGGAGGCUCAACGGAAUGUCCACUAACAACAGAGAUCAGUUUCUGUCGCCGAAUGCUAUGUCCUCGCUGACACACCCUCACGUAUAUGGCAGCCUUCCCUCGACAGUAGUGGACAAUCCGUUGCUAGCGAUUAAAGAAAGUGCCACCGCUACCCACAAUUCGUUUCGUCCGUAUAAGCAAUUGGAUCAAUCUGUACCGACAAUCAACAGCCAAUCAACCAAACAGCAAAUUAUUAUUCAAGAGUUCCUUAACGGUAAUCAUGCUGGUUCAUACCAUCAGCAACAACUGCAACAGAUGCCUUCGGGCAGCGGUGGAAGUCCUUCGAGCACACUAAACAACAGUUCCAUAACAAUUUUGACCUCCCACCAAAGUAAGUCUUCGCCUAGCUCCGUAAACGAGAGUUCCGCACAAUCGACGGUAGUACUAGAUCGAAUCAAUAUUUGUAUCAACAACCAUUUCAAUGAGCCACAACAGCAGCAGCAAGUAGAUUUAACAAAGUCUAGUGGUAGUGAGAAACGAUCCAGUAUUGACUUGGAACCGGACUCAACGACAUCCUCCCUAGGACAACUACCAGUCACACCGGAAAAAAACGGAACGAAGUUCAAGCUACAGGAGGACGUACUGGUGGAGAACAAGGACGGUCGCUUCUACCUAGGAACGGUUAUUGCGAUCGGAUCGGGCCAGUGUUUAGUGCGUUUUAACGAUAACACAGAAAGUUGGUCGGACUUCCGUGAGCUAACAAAGCUGAGCAGUAGCGAAGCGGACGAUUCACCAGUUUGUGUAGUGUGUAAGCGAUACAAUGCCAGCGAUUGCGUGGAGGUUUGCGAGAACUGCGGCCGCGGAUAUCACGUCAAAUGUAUGGACGGAAAUUUCGAACGCAAUGGGUACUGGUUCUGUCGAAUGUGUACGUCACCAAACGGCAAAAAGAAGGAUAUCCGUUACGUGUGUUCCGGUGUUUUGUCAGAAUCAUUGGAUCCACUUACCAACAAAUCUCAACUUCCAUAUAAUAUCGAUACGCUUAACUGGGACGCCCUGCACCGCGUAAACACCGAGCAGCACUAUUGCUACUGUGGAGACGAUGGCGAUUGGCUGAGGGAAAUGAUUCAAUGCUGCCGUUGUCAACAGUGGUUUCAUGGUCGAUGCAUCCGCAGCCUACAGUAUCCGAUUUUUCUGGGUGAUCGUUUUUACUUUUUCAUUUGCUCUAUUUGUAACCACGGGCACGAGUUUGUGCGGCGGCUGGAGAUGUGCUGGUCUGACCUAAUCCACUUAAUACUGUACAAUUUGAUCGUUCGUAAUGGCAAGCGCUUCUACGACGUAACGAAAGCUAUCGCGCCCUAUGUGGAGGAUAACUGGAGGGCUCUGCAGAUGCAAGACCAGAUGACGAAGUUGUCACCCAACGCAAGAAAAGAAAUCAUAACGCAAACGUUGACCAAUGAUAGAGUGCGCUUCAAGUGCACUGGAGAGGGAAGCACCAUGUGGACCCUACGCCUCCCGGGACCGCCCAGUCCACCGAACGUGCUGCUGAUACCUGGGCAAAUUAUUACCGAACACAUUCUAACGCAUAUGUCUAAAGAAAAUCGAAUUUAUCGGUUUUUGCCUAGAGUAGCCCUAGAAAAAUCAUUUGUUAACGAUGCACUGAGUCGCGAGAAAAUGACCGGUGUCAACUACUGCUCUCCACUAGUAACUGAAGAUGAUGCCUCGGAAGUUUCCGACACAACCGCAGAGGAGAACAGCUCCGAUUACGACGCUCAGGUCGGUGCUGGCAUCGGCGAGCUUCCAGUCGAAGUACGCGCUAGCGGUGAUAGCUGCGAUCCACCGGUAGUCCUCGGUGAUCAGACUCGGCCGAACAGUGUUGCAAUAUUAACCAGUACAGGGAAAAAUUCUAGUUCAAAUUUAAGCGAUUCGCUGUUUAGUUCCAACGCCAAGGACGGUUUCCAAUUCGGCCCUGCUGGAAAUUGUUCCAAAACGCAAAGCGAAACGGGUAGUAUCAUCAGUGGGCUUAGUGGAAAUCGGCGGGCAUUCAAAUCGCGAAACAAAAAAACCGACAGCGAGAAAUCGCUGGACAUAUAUGAAUCAUCGGAUGAUACCUCACGGAAUACACUGGAUUUGAUCAUACCACAUCCCAAAGAUUUCAGUGGAAAAAAUAACCCCUUCCAUCAGCCUACAACGGCAACCGGUACCGGUGUUGGCGCUGGUGCCGGUGCCGGCACAGGGCAGUUGAAGAACAACGAAACAAAAGACUUGAUGCAGAAGGCUAGUACCAGUAAUCUUAGUCAUAUAGGUAGUAAUCUAAUAAACGGAGAAAUGCGUGUCGCGCGCAUCGUAAAAAGGAGGCUUAGUGCGCGAGACAUUCUGAACGGAUCCAAAAGCAAGCGAAGGAAGUUCCGAAAAAGUUCGGUUAUCGGUUCGACAAUAACCGCUAUUGCCGGUCCAGGAGCAACAAUACCCCAACAAGGUCAAUCGUCUAGCCUUAUAGCUUCGCUAUUUUCUCAACCGGUCGACACCGGCGGUUGGACCAGUCAGAUAGCGCUCAACUCGUUUCUGCCCUCAACGUCUUCCUCAGGAAGCAGCACACCACCAAGCUGUUCAUACUCCGCUAAUGUGCAGCCAAAUACGAUGGUUCCUCAGGCAGCACUUCCCGUCGCUGCUACAAUCACUGCCACCUCAUCCUCUUCGUCACCGGCUAGUCUACAGCUAAUCGCAAGCUCGCAGGCCGGGCCGCAGAAAAAGAGCCCAAUCCACGGUCGACGGCUGCGACAGCGUCAAGAGCGCAACUAUGCCGAAUCCAGCAGGCGAACCAGCGCUCCGUCUGCGGUACAGGUAAGCGGCUCUCUGACUACCAGCUUACCCGAUUCUCCGGUUAAGAACGGGUCAGGGUCCGUCUCGAACGGCGCUACCACCCCGACUAACAACGGGACUGAUCUCCAAUCUUCGCUUAAUUUGUACUUUGGCGCCGCUCACCGCAUUCUCAGCGGUGAAAAGUUCGUCAUCAAAGGGAAGCGGGUUUCGCUCUCCGGCAAAGUGCAGUAUCUGAUCGAGUGGGAGGGCUGCCCAGCGCCACAGUUGAUGUAGUAGGUUUAACUUUAUUUUUUUUUUUUUGCCUAACUGAAUGGGUUCAGGUAAUUUUAGCAACUAUUAUAUGAUAAUUGAAGCAAACGGUCCAGGACGCAAUUGUUCUAGACUACGAACCACAUUCCAGCCGAGUGCAGUGUUGUCUUACAGGAUGAAGUGUAAGUAGUUUGGCGGUGAUUAUGUGUCACAUGUUUUUUUAAUAUUGAACUAGUUUUUCUGUGGAGCGAAAUUAUUAGACAAUAAAUUUCAGAAAUUUUAUAGUCGUCUCUAUAUAGACGUCGCUAGGUUGGAGUUAUGCAGGAUACCUGUUUUACGCAAAUAAAAAAACGCAAAGAAUCGAUUGGUGAUGGUUCCAUGUUGUGCAGUGAACGCUGCUCUAAAAUUGUAAUGCAAGCUAAAACUAUUCUCGUUCGAAAAUGGCACUAACAGUAACGACCGUAAACAAAAAUAAGACUGUUAAUUUAUUUGCCGCGCAUAAAAUUAGUUUAGAAAACCUCUUAAUAUGGUAAAAAAAUUGGAAGAAUCAAUUCUAUCUACUCAGAAUGGUGUAAAAAUCGAGAAUAGUAAAUUUGGCUCGAUUGUACCCUAAAUAAAUAGUGAAAUUAUAAACAAAAGGCUGAGAAACAAACGACAGCGUCUGACCCGAAGCGGGCGGCUGAGUUUGGAACGUGUUCCCUCGAAAGCUAUAUUCAAGAUGGCAGUCCCAUGACUUGGUAGGGUAGCGGUGGUAAGGCAACCAACCUAAGCAAAUACACACCAAUUUAAAAAAUGUAACUCGAUACAUUCAGUAUGGCCCUAGGCAACUGCCCUCCAUGGCCAGAUCCAGAUCGUCAUCGGGAACGUGAAAGAAUGAACGCUCUUGUCGGUAGGAACAUGAUGUAUGGACCGGUGAUAGGGCCCCAAAGCCUACACAUCGACACAAAAACAACGGCAAACGAUGCAUCAACUUCGUAGUUUUCCCGAGGUCUGUUGAUUAGAAACACCUUUUUCGGCCUCAAGAAUAUCCACAGUCACCUGAAACAAACUAAAUUGACCGCGUUCUCAUAGAUGAGCAGCUUUUCUCUAACAUCAGCGCAUGUUCUCCUUCCGGGGUGCGGAUAUCGAAUCAGACCGCCACCUAGCAUCAGUGCAGUCAUCCCAGUCCUGUAUGUAGCCACCGGGAAUGGCACUUCCAUAACGUUAUUCACCGCAAGAACUCAUCGAUUUCUUCCGUUUGUACUACUGGUUCUCACCACGCUUCCAGAUUACCGUCGUAAAUAACUCUCUGGUUGUAUUAUAAUAAGUUUGUACUUGCUCUCGUAGGAACUCUCGAUGAACCGAACUUCGCGGACGACUAUGACACCAGACUCAAGCGGAUUUAUGAGCGGUGUCCCUUUCGGGAUCGCUCUAGGACUUUCUUUUGAUACGGUGUCCGUAAAACGGAUCGCAAUAAGGAUAGGUCCUGGAUGGAUCUUUUACUGGAUACUUCUCCAGACUGAAUUGCUCUUUAUUUGAAAAUCUUAGCUUUAAAUAGCCAACUGAAUGUUGCGCUACAAAAUCAAUAUGUAGGUAAUCUUUAUUACAUUCUUUAUUAUUGCUAGAGUGAGAUGUCUGGAACGGACGUGUGACAAACAAUUUUGGCUGAGGAUUGCAAUCAUAUGUUUUGCCUCGGUUAGUUUAUGCCGGUUAUGCAAUUUGAGACCUUGCGCUGGGUGCGCUUCGUUUUAAGUCAAAAAGUAAUGUUAAGGGUCGACCAGCGAAGCCGUCUUUGCAUGACAUGCACUUUGCUGGUGGUCGACCUUUUGUUAUUUAUGUUUGACUUUCAAGAUUGAAAGGGGGGGGGGUCUAAUUUUCUUCUGUUUUCGUUUUUAAGCCACAUUAUUUCGCCUAUAUCAAUUUUGAUUGGAUUUGUAUUUCUCUCUUGUGCUUUGAUUCUUCCAUGUUUGGAUAUGUUCAAUGCAUCUCUAGUGUUUUUGACUGCUGAUUGUAUCUUGAAUUUUAAUUCUAAAUAGUAGGUACGAAUCAUAGUUAUAUAUUGGUUCUACUGUGAAUACUCUAAUCAAGUGAUUUUGGGAUAUUUGCCUGUCUACCGAAUAAAAGUUCGCAGGGUGGCCACCCAACCGGGAAAAAACCUGGAAUCGUUUGGAACCGGGAAAAACCGGGGAAAAACCGGGAAUUUCACUGAACAUUACAAGCCGGGGUGAGAUUGUGCCAGUGGAGGUGGGAUUGUGCCAUACAAACCCAUUUUUUGCAGCCAUCUCAUGGCGAUCACAAGACCAAAAUUUCUUAAGUAAGUUUCCUCGAAUACUUAACCAAAAAAAGACUAGUCGUGUGACCCGGAAAAGAUGGCUGAUAUAUCUUACAGUGCAUAAAACAGUUUUUUUGUUUUUAUUCAUCUUUCUCUUGGAAGCUAACUUGACCAAGGUAAGCUCCCCGGAAGUAGCAUUCAAAUGGCUCGAAUUUUGCCCAGAGCAAAUGGUUCACAACGAUAAUCUCGCGGGAACUGUAGCUGAUAGAUGUCGCCAAGAAUACUCACAACUAUUGAGUAUGCAUUCGACGAAGACACUGCUGACUUCCUACCUUGAUACUUUUUGUAGAGAUCUGAUAGCUGCUUCAGGCAAGUAACUUCCUAACUUUACUGUGUUUAUCGAAAGGAUUCUGAUUCUAUCGCAUGGCAAUGCCACGUUAAAGCAAGGUUUCUCCGUGAACAAGGAGUGCGUAGUCAUGAAUUUGGAAAAAGACAGUCUUGUAGCGCAGCGCUUGGUGUGCGAUACAGUACAGGUGCCGGAGGUGGACACGAAAUUGAUAUUGAUGAGGAGAUGCGUGAGCUGCUGAAGUAACGUGUUUUAAGUGUUAUGAAAAUACUCUUUUAUAUAUUGAAUCUUAUCUGGUUGAGGUAAAAACGAUUCCUUCAAACUUAAUUUGGCCUAGGAUUCCUCGGUAAUGAGUAUUAUAUGCGUUGUUUAUAAGAUACUUGUAGACAUCUCCUCUCGGAAAGGUGACAUCCGUCGCAUUUUUCGAUUUUUUGCAACUAUAUCUCUUGAUUCCAAUAAGGCUGAACACGUCAAGAUGUGACUUAGAGCAUAUUGAGAUGUAAAUCGAAAAUCACGCUUUUUUAUUCUUUAACUGCAUGGAAAACUACAGAAUUCAAAAGUACAAUUAACCAGGAAAAAUAUUUGAACGAACCGGGAAUUUAAUUUCGGGUUUUGAGUGGCCACCCUGAGUUCGAAUGGUGUGUAUUGAUGUGUGGAAUUUGGAGUGGUAUUGUAACAAAAUACAUAAUAUUGUAACCAACUGUCCCAAUCGUCGUGUUGUUCAUUUAUAAAUUGGCGUAGAAACUCGUUAAGGCAACGAUGAUUUCUUUCCAGCCUGCUUAUAGUUUCUGGAUGAUAAGCAGUUGAAAAUUUUUGUUCUAUAGAUAAAAAUGUACAAAUAUGUUGAAAUAUUUCAUUCUUGUACUCGGUUCCCAUGUCUGAUUUAUUGAUCGAUGGGCAACCGUGUAGAAGGAUGCAAUUUUCAUCAAAUGCUUUCGCUAGAGUUUUUGCCUGUUUAUCCUUUAUAGGUACUAUUAUGAUGAAUUUAGUUAAUUCACAUUGUGCGGUCAAUGCGUAACGAUUUCCAUUAGUGGAUUUCGUAAAAGGUCCUAUCGUAUCUAUUAAUACGAUAUCAAAGGCUUUUAUAGGAGUUGUAGUUUUAACAAAAGCUUCUUUAGUUUUAUAGAAUGUUUGUUUUGUUUACAUUUUCCACAGUUUUUGACAUAAUUUUUAAUUAUUGAUGUCAUAUUUGUCCAAUAAUAUGAACUUCUUAACUGUUUUAUAAGUCUUAGUACCUACGUAUUCUCCCGAAGGGGUAUCGUGGUUUUCUGCAAUGAUUUUCUUUAUUUCGCUUUGGCAUUUAAUUAUUUGAGCUGAUUUGUAAAUUAGUAUGUCGACAUUUCUUGAGAUACUGUUGCAUGUUGUUUUGAACAGCUGUUUGUUUACCAGCGAAAAUAUUAUAUUAUCAUUUGUGAUUGCUAGCUUCUUUAUUUCUUAACUUUGUGGCCAUCUCAUCAAUUGUACUUAUAUAUUCUUGUAAGUUGAAUUUUCUUAAUGCAUAAAGGAAAUGCGCUAGAGCAAGAUCCUUUUUCACAUUUUUUGUUUUUAUUUUUAUUAAUAUGUCUUUGUCUUUGACACAGAAUACAAGUUUUAAUAGUACUGUAAUUUCAGUGAGAUUUCCGAUUACCUCAGUUCUUUUAAUAUUUAAAAGUAACUUUUCAAAAAUAGGCUCGAACCGAUCGAGAUCAAUGAUAUAAAAAAAAAUUAUGCUCGCCCAUUUCUAAAAAGCCACUACCAUCUUGGUGGAUGAAAAGACCUGGAUUGAGAUUAAGAUUGGUUAAUUGUAUAGUCUGAGGAGUAAUGCAAGCAAUGUAGAAGAAAGCGAUGAGAGCCAAUAAAAUGGCUGUUCGUGUCCUCAUCUGAAAAGGAGAGAAGAACUCUGUUAGAUUUUUUUUUGAUAAAUUAUUUUCGAAUGCGGCGUAGUUUUGUUUUGUGUAAUGUCCGAUUAUUGUGGUCAAUGUAGGUCUGAUUUUUGUUUUGGGUGACUUGCACGGGUGAAAAUUGAUCCUUGGUCAUGGCUCUGAUACCUUGUAUUCGGAUAAAAACGGUUUCACCAGGUUCUAAUAUUGGGGAAGUUUCUUUAUCUUUGUUGUGGUAUUGAUGCUGUUGGGUUUGUGUCUUACUGAUUUGCAAUACUACUUCAUCGUACAGCUUAUUCCUAAGUUGUAUGAGAGCAUCUCUGUCUACUUAAUUGGCUCCGUAAAACAUUAAUUUGUAUUGUGCCGUGUCAAAUAAAUGUUGUGUGAACAAAAAAAGCAUCUCUGUCUAGCGGCCUUUCUUGACCAUCUUGAAUGCCGAAAAACACUUCUCUAGGCUUCAGAUUCGUCGAACUGUGUAUGUUGUUGUUAUACAACGUGCACACUAUUAAAAAUAUUUCUUAGGGAGGUAAGUCCUCGUAUCUAUGUUUGUUGCACCGGAAUAUUUCGCUAAGUGUAGAAUGGAACCGUUCCACUAAACCAUUAGUUUGACUGUAAUUUGAGGGUGUGAAAUAUUGUUGAAUGUUCAGAUCGUUUAGCAUUCCUCUGAUCUCUAUUGAUUUUAGUGCUCGUGCGUUAUCAGAGACAAUCAAUUUUGGGGCGCCAAAAGUCGAGAUAUAUUUUAAAACUGCUUUUCGUAGGUCUGGAAUAGAUCUUGAUUUGAUUGGAAUGAGAGAAGCGAACCUGGAUAAUUUGUCUAAUACUGACAGAAAUAAAUUUGGCUGUGCUAUGUAAAUGUCCAUGUGAACAAUGUCCAGCGGUUGUUUGGGGUUGGAGUUUCUCCUAGCGGAAUUUUAUACGGCUUCCUUCCAUAUUUUGAUUUAUUGCACACCUUGAACAUUAUAACAAAUUUUCUUAUUUUUUGUUUCAUUUUCGCGAAUUCCUCUGUGUGCUAGAUCGUGAGUUUCCUCUACGAUGUCAUUUUGCUCUUCAGCUAUUUUUAAGUCAGUUAAUAACUUUUGGGUUAUUUUUAUUUUAAAUGUUUUACAUCUUUUGAAGUAAUUCGUAUAAACCACUUGCACAGAAGGGAUCAAUUGUUCGGGACAAAGUAUGCAAUUUGUCUUAUUCGGACUCAUGUGUUCUCUAAAGAUUCUAAUUAAAGUUGGUACACCAAAUAUUGAUUUGGUUACUGUUCUUCUGUGAACCCAGGAAAAACUUCUUCAUAUUCCUCCGAAUCAGUACUGCCAAUUUACAAAUUAUCUGAUUGUGGAAAUUAUUUAGAGGAAACUCGGUGCAUGCCACGAACUCUGAAUCAUCGGUAUCUACUGAAUGAACCGAGUCCGCGUCAGAGCUGUCCUCAUUAAUAUUAGUUUCGUUUAUUCUUGAUAAGGCGUCGGCAACGACAUUUGGUUUCCCGGGACGGCGCUUUAUAUCAAAAUCAUAUUCGGCUAAUUGUAGGCGCCAUUUCACUAGCUUUGAGUUUGGUGUUUUCAAGUUAAGCGCUUACGUCAGAGGCUGGUGAUCGGUGUAGAGCAUAAAGCGUCUACCAAAUAGAUACGGUCGAAAUUAUUGUGUGGCCCAAACAAUGGCCAACAGCUCCUUUUCGAUCGCUGAAUAGUUUUCCUCGGACUUUGUUAAUGUUCUUAAGGCGUAGGCAACGGGUCUGUCUUUUCCCAUAGGACCCUGUGAGAGCACGGCACCGAGUGCAAAGUUACUUGCGUCGGUAGUUAAAAUAAAAGGUUUUUCGAAAUCUGGGUAUUGUAAGAUAUCACUUUGAGUGAGUAUAUUUUUUCACAUAACGAAUUUUUUCAAAAGAGUCGGUGUAUGCUCCACUGUCUCUCCUUUACGUAAUUGGGAUGUAAGUGGUUUUGUGAUUUUUGCAAAAUCUCGCACAAACCGCCGGUAAUAUCCCAGUAUGCCCAGAAACCACUUAAACUCUUUCUGGUUUCUUGGUAUUGGCCAGUUUUGGAUCGCCGUAAUUUUAUCCGGGUUUGGUUUUACUCCCUCACUGGUCACUAUAUGUUCCGAGAAGGCAACAUCUUUCUUCAAGAAUUCGCUUUUAUCAAGCUAAAUUUUUAAGUUAACCUUAGCGAGAGUCUGGAAUAUUUUGUUCAAAUAGUCAAUAUGUUCUUGUAAUGAAGUUGAAAAGACGAUAAUAUCGUCCAUGUACACCAAGCAACAUUUGCCAAUCAAAUCUCUCAGCACAUUAUCCAUUACGCGCUGAAAGGUUGCGGGGGCAUUUUUUAGCCCGAAUGGCAUCCGCAAAUACUCAUAUAAUCCGUACUCGACUGAGAAAGCCGUUUUUUGCACAUCUUUCGAAUGGACUUCUAUCUGGUGAAAACCAGAAGCGAGGUCCAACGUUGUAAAAAAUUUACCAAGUUUGUCAAGAAUCUCGGUGAUAUUUGGCAUUGGAUAUUUAUCAUCUGUGGUUUACUCAUUUAAUUUCCUGUAAUCUACCACUAACCUCCAUUUUUGUCUUCCAGAGGCGUCAGCUUUUUUCAGUACAAUCCAGAUUGGAGAGCACCAAGGAGAAGUACUGGGGCGAAUAAUGCCUUGCGAAACCAUUUCAGAAAUCUGCCUUUGGGGCCAUCCACAUACCACGUGG